AAUAUAGUUGUUUACAAUGUCACUGAUCUGAAAUAAGUUAAUUCUAAACCUCACGUUGGUGUCCCUUCUGGAGAAGGCAUGUUAGUUUCUAGAGCGAAGGGAAAAGAAGAUAUACUUUGUCACCAGCUCACGCAUAUCCUCUUUCCUCCUCCACACAAUUACUGUGGUGAUCCCACACUUUCCCUCAGGUCGUUACUGUGAUUUUCACUCACAUCUACCCGGGUCCUCACUUUCCAACUUGAUUAUUAGCUGUGCGAUGGUGAGGGUCUAAUUCUCACCUUGUAAUUGGAUUCCUCCAUUUUGACGGGUCCCUGUGAGUGUGGUCUCCCCGUUUAUCAGCCCCAGUCCUUCUGGCAUUGGAUGGAUGUUCUGAUUGGGAUCUGAGUUUCUGUGUGGCACUGUGGGGAGCUAGUGUCUUGGUUUGUUUCCUUGCUGGUUGUCAGGCUGUUUCGCAGUCCUGGUCCUGUGUGUUUACUGUGCUGUGGUGGGAGUGCGUUUGUUGGCAGAUGCACCUGCCCGCGCUCUGUCAUGAUGCUCUGGCCUGUGUUCCUGGGCUCCCACGUGCUGACAGUUUCCUCCUCCAGCCUGGCUUCUACCCCAAGAGUGGGUAGGGAGACCAGCAUGCUGAGCACUCACCUGCCAAGGUCCUGACAUUCCUCCUGAAAUGUCCCACGUAAUGUCCCCUUGGCUGAGCUGGGGUGUCCCCCACCCCUGUGAGCACUGGCUGAGCUGGGGUGUCCUGCCCCCCUGUGAGCACUGGCCUAGCCCUCCAUUCUGGCCCUUUCUACCUCUGUGGAGCUCAGGACAUGCACAAGAUGAGCUUCUAUUCCAAAGGGGUUUUCUUAGAGUGACCGGCAGUGUCUGUGAGAAUUCUCAGGAUGGGGCCAGCUUGCCUUCUGGCUCACGGCUGCUUUGGAACGUGAGGGCACUUACUUCUGUUCCUAUGUCCUUCUCAGAACAUGCCUCUUCCUUCCUUUAUUGAGUGUGCUGGUGAAUCUCUUGAGAUGUCUGCCCUAUAGAUUUCAUGAGGAGCUGGGGGAGGGCUGCAUAGUGGGGGUGGAGAGGUGGUGUGGGCUGUGUCCCAUGGAGCAGACCUGGGGUGUUUCCCUCUCACCUUGUUGGUCACCUGCGGAGGCCAUGUGGACAUCCGCAGCGGGCCGGGUGUGCCAGGCAUGAUGACAAGAGCUCGACAUGUACCAUUAUUAAACUCCUGACAUUAUCCUGUGUGACAGGCAUUCCUAUGAAACACCUUUAAUUGAUGAGUAAGCCGAAGCACACAGAUUUGAACCCAGGCAGUCCUGGUCUGGAGCCUGUGCUUUUGGCUUGAUGCUGCCUCUGUGAGGAAGCGAAGAGGAGCCUUGGGGCAUGGCAACAGAUUGCAUGCUGGUGAUGACAGUUCCGUAGCAUGUGAGCAGCAGGCAUAAGGAUCACAAGAACUGAAGACAUUUGUAAAGGAAUUCCUCUGGGAACUAUCCUUAUGACCACACUCAAAUUCACGACUUCCCUUGCAGUGCAUUUUCUGCUGUUGUGUGACAUUCUGGAAACUCAUCAUUCUGGAAACUGCUUCCUAUUCUGUGCCAGGAAUUAUCCCAGGCAGUUGCUGCAUGUCAGUCUUUCACCCUUUCCACUGGCCACAGGAAAGCUGUGAUCCUGCUGUACCUGAAGAAGAGACUGGGGGUCAGAGAGAAAGGAGGUGAUUCCGCAGGGUUGGCUGGGGAAGGAGGUAGCUCGGCCCCACAGCCAUGCUUUUGGAGUGACCCCGCCCUGCCCGAGGUGAUGUCACAGAGCUUUAGAGGCUGAGACUUGAAGAAUUCUCUGCUCUGCCUGUGACCAGCGUUUCCCAGGAGUGAGUUUAGAAAAAGUGUCAAAACAACUCACCCUGCUUUUAAACAAGCAUCAGAAGAGUCCACAUGUCUGUUUGGGGGAAACUGUUGAGAUCAUGGUGUAUAAGGAAGUGAGCCAAAGAUGGGAAUCUUGGGAGAAGACACUUACUUCAUUUUCAACUCUUUGUCUUUCCCCAAAUUCACAGAGGUAUAGUAAAAACUCAUUGCUUAUUAGUUGACAUUUAACCCCACCUACUGUUUCUUUUCUAAAAUAGGAAAAAUAAAAACUCCUUAGUAGAUGUCUUGGUCAGCUGAGGCCCCCAUAACAAAACACCACAGACUGGGUGGCUUAACAACAGACUCUGAGAGUCCCACUGUAGCACAGUGGGUUAAGGACCCAGCAUUGCCACAGCUGCAGUGUAGCCCAGGUUGGAUCCCUGGCCCAGAAACUUCCAUAUGCCGCAGGUGUUUAAAAAAAAAAAAAAAGACACUGGUGUCUCAAAGUUCUUUUUGGGUUCUGCUGAGAGCCCACUUCCUGGCUUGUGGACAGCUGCCUUCUGGUCGCAUUGCUGUGUGGCCUGUCCUCUGCCUCCAUGUGGAGAGGCCAUGCUCUUUUGUUCUUCCCCUUCCUAGAAAGGUCACCAAUCCUAGAUGAGAACUUCCCUCAUCUGACUUGGCUAACCCUAAUUUAUCUCCUAGAAGCCCCAUUUCCAGAUGCAGUCACACUAGGGGUUGGGACUUUAACAUGAGAAUUUGGGGAGGGUGUAAUUCAGUCUAUAGCAAUAGGGAAGUUUUUCUCCCCCUAAUAUCAUUUCUUACUUUUAUUUUAUUUAUUUACUUUUUUGCUAUCGUUAUAUUUCAACCAAAGCUGGUUAUAGACACCAGUGGAAAGAAUCUGUAUCUUAAAUGUCUAAUCUAUAAACAACCAGCUUAUUAUUAUUAAUCUUUCAGUGUCAGAUGAUAUGUAUGAUAGAAGGUGAUGUGAGUGGUCAGUAUGUUCAAAUUAUUUAAACAUUCGCGUUGACCUUGAUUAUUUUACAUGUUAGCUGAAAAGCAAAAUGAUUAAUGUUGUCAUUUUACCUGACCAGGUAAUCAUCCUGUAUUUAUAUUUAUAUAUAUAUAUAUAAAAGAAAGAAUAGGUUGCCCUGUAUGGUUUUAGUGAGAAAUAAACUUGAAAUUUGAUGUUCUCAUUUAGCUAUAGAAAGCUUUAAAUAGUUGGGUUCUUGGUGAAUGAACUUAAAAAUAAAAGGGAAUGUUUGCCUGUUUAUUUUCCAUAGGUCUCAGGUACUUUGAUAUAACUUUCUUGGGAAAAAAAUACUAGGCAAGAAUUAAAAACUGGCUCAGUGUGGUCAGAAAGAAAAGUCUAUCUUUUUCUAAAAUAUACUGAAUUCUGAAAGUUAAUUAAAAUGAAGACAUUGUCACCUAGUAUUCUAAACUUGUUAUAUUUAGCUUUUCCUUUGGGAAAAAAAAAAAGCUACUUUUUCCUUCUUUGUAAGCGUAAUUAUCUUGGUGUCUUCAGUCUUCCAGAAUUCACACAGGAUCACCAUUUUCUUUCCCAUUUGAGUAAACAGGCUGCUGCCCUGAUGCUCCAUACUUGGGAAGCCCCUCAUGCUCUACUCUUCCAUCACCAAGGAUUGCUAGGGUCCUGAAGAUUUUCCUGGUCACCCUGACUCCAGUUUCUUACCUCCACCGACUGCUUGGGCUCCCUGAGCACUGGGCCUCCUGCAGUUGGCCUGUCACCGUACUUGCCACAGGCUGGGUACCACUUCCCAUCCCAAAGGAACACUGGUCCAGGUUGUGACAGCAGCCCACUGGGUACCUGCAACACUGCCUGGAAGUCCUGGCACUCUUCCUGGGUCCCCAUGAUAAUCACACUGUCAAACCUAGUGGUCAAGUCUUAGACUCCCCUCCCUUGACCCAACAUUUGGAAGUUUCUCUCCAUGGGUUUACCCCUCUGUACCUGGCUUCCCCACUCCGCCUGGCCUCUUGGCUGUCUUUUCCUCCUAAAGGGAAGGAUGCUUCAGAGCUGGGUCUUGCCAUCCUCUCUCCAUUUUCUUUCCACCCUGUAAUUUCACCUAGGCCCAGGUUCUGAGUGCCUUCUCUAGCCGAGCUUCUUCCUUGGGCUCCAGACUCAGGUGUCCGCCUGCCCAGUCACAAUCUUCAUAGGAUUUCUGAUGAGCAUCUCACAUUGAACAAGUCCAAAGCAGAAUUCUUCAUGUCAUUCCCAAUUCUGCCCCAUCUCAGUGACUGAUAAUGCCAUUCACUCAGUUGCCCAGACCCAAAAUUUCACUGUUCACCUGGACUCCUGUCUCUCUCACAGCCAGGUCCAUCAGCAAGACCUGCUCGCUCUUCCUUCAUGAUGCUUCCAGGAUCCCACCACUCUCCUCACCUGCACCAUGCCUUCCCAGAUCUAAACCACUGUCAUCUCCUGCUGGACCAAUGCAGCUGUCAUACCAUCUCUCUCAUUCCACUCUGGCCUCUGAGUCUGUGGGCCAUGGAGGUGAACAGUUAAAAAACCCAGGUCACAUCAUGUCAGUCCUCAGAAUAUUCCCGCUUAGAAUAUUCAUCUGGACUCCUCAUCACACCUUCCAAGGUCAUCCAUCUGUAUGAUGUCCCUGCCCUUCCCCUGGUCCCUCCCCUUCGCUCCCUUGGCCUCAGUCACCCUCAUCUUCCUGCUCCUCCUUCCUUGGUGUCCCUGUUUGUGCCAUUUUCCCUACCUGCCACACCCCUCCCUGAGAUCUCAGCCUGGCUCUCUCCUCCCCCUCCUUCAGUCUACUGCGCAGGUGACAGCCCCAUAGAAAGGCCAUCCCAUAGCAUGCUGCCUAACUACCAUCCUAUCCCAAAUUACUUCCACACAACAAAAUCUGAGUCUCAGUCUCUUUUGCUUCUUCCAGAAUGAGUAGAGGCAAUGGGUAAAAAUGGUGAUGAGAAUUGGGGAGGGAGGGACUCUGUUACCUGGUGUGAACACUAGAUGAAACCAUUGCUUUUUCUUGAACAACAGGCCACUCCCUUGAGCUGACGUGUGCCUCUUUCCUAAUACAUGAGAAGAG
rnacentral:lncRNA from 1 species